UUGGACUUCAGAAACCAUUGGAAGGCAUCACUAUUUGGACUAGUUUUAUGAUAAAACAAUAAGAUCAAUUGAUACAACACUAUAAAUUAAACAAUGAAACUUAUUUGAUAUUAUAUUGUUUUUGUACAUUACUCUUCAUAUUUCUGUGCGCAUCUGGUUUAUUUGACAUGUUAAUGAGAAAAGACACGCAAUUCUUAGACGCACACUUGAUAACACAUGGUAAUGCAACUGCUUAGCCUACUGUUUUGCUUUUUAUCACAAUCCAUAAAUUUUCUAAACUGAUGUCUUUGUUUUUCCUGAUCAGCUAUCCUGAAUUCAAA
rnacentral:misc_RNA from 1 species